GGGAAGAUCUUUUUGCCAUUUGAAGUGAGUUUUUUCCCCCUUUUUUUUAAAGAAAAUAAUCUAAUGGUGGUUGGAUUUGCAUGUGAAAAUUUAGUGCCUUAACAGCAAUUCAUGAUGGGAUGAGGACUCUCACUCUUUUACUAAUAAUUUCAUUUCUCAUCUGGGUAAAAAAAAAAAAAGUAAACGUCAUAGCUAUUCACUAGAAAC
rnacentral:misc_RNA from 1 species